rnacentral:lncRNA from 1 species
CGGCCUUCUUCUGAGAACCCUGAAAAUAAAACAGAAAAAACAAGAAAAAUAUAAGUCGAUAUAUGUAACAGAUUAUAUAUAUCCAAUAAAUAAUUAUUAUUAAAAACACGUGCAUAUUGCAAGUGCUGAUCAAAAUAUUCUCACAAUUAUGAUUACUCAUAAUUGAGACAAUUAAACUCUCAAUUAAGGCACAAUUAAUAAAAUAUUAAUGUCCUUAAUUAAGACACAAUUAAAACCUUCAAUUAAGGCACAAUUAACGUCCUCAAUUAGGAGGCACAAUUUACGCUCUUAAUUAAGAGGCACAAUUAAAGCCCUCAAUUAGGAGGCACAAUUAACGCGGCACAAUUAACGCCUUCCUUUCUGACACCGGAUUUCAUGCUCAUCCCGGAGCAGAACCGUCGCCGUCACCCACGUUUAGCAUGUCUUGCUUUUGCUGCAAAAGUAGGGUAUGGCGAUAAUUCAACGGAAAAGAAUCUAAACAACAAAGUCAAAACGUAGAGGGGCAAUGAAAUCUAAGCGAGGGACACAACCAUAACAUAUAAAUCAGUACAACAGUUACUGUAAUAAAUUGAACAGGGGCCUGUGAAGCUUAUCUUGAAAACAUGGUACGUUAUCGUCCUGUUGUUGUCUUCCUCCCCUUCUGUUGUUGCGAAUAUAGAUACAUCGCUAGACUUGACACAAAACUGGGAUGGGCAAAGCCGUGUGGAUUCUUUGCUUUCACCAAUUGGAGUCCAACACAAAAUCUCCUGUGCUUCUCUUUAAAUCUUCUGUUUGCCUCAUUUUCAUCGCCAUCUUCUUAAGCUAUACCCUGCGUAGAUGAGCCCUAGCAGUACGAUUGGAGGACGCGUGAGUCGUGGCCGUUGGAUCGAAAAAAUCGCGGAAAGAAUCUGGAGAGAGCCGAGGGAGAGUGUUGGCCUGUUGUUUU